rnacentral:rRNA from 1 species
GACGAACGCUGGCGGCGUGCUUAACACAUGCAAGUCGAACGGAAAGGCCCUGCUUUUGUGGGGUGCUCGGGUGGCGAACGGGUGAGUAACACGUGAGUAACCUGCCCUUGACUUUGGGAUAACUUCAGGAAACUGGGGCUAAUCCCGGAUAGGAGCUCCUGCUGCAUGGUGGGGGUUGGAAAGUUUCGGCGGUUGGGGAUGGACUCGCGGCUUAUCAGCUUGUUGGUGGGGUAGUGGCUUACCAAGGCUUUGACGGGUAGCCGGCCUGAGAGGGUGACCGGCCACAUUGGGACUGAGAUACGGCCCAGACUCCUACGGGAGGCAGCAGUGGGGAAUAUUGCACAAUGGGCGGAAGCCUGAUGCAGCAACGCCGCGUGCGGGAUGACGGCCUUCGGGUUGUAAACCGCUUUCGCCUGUGACGAAGCGUGAGUGACGGUAAUGGGUAAAGAAGCACCGGCUAACUACGUG